rnacentral:rRNA from 1 species
UACGAAGGGGGCUAGCGUUGCUCGGAAUUACUGGGCGUAAAGCGCACGUAGGCGGUCUUUUAAGUCGGUGGUGAAAUCCUGGAGCUCAACUCCAGAACUGCCUUCGAUACUGGAAGACUUGAGUCCGGGAGAGGUGAGUGGAACUGCGAGUGUAGAGGUGAAAUUCGUAGAUAUUCGCAAGAACACCAGUGGCGAAGGCGGCUGUCUGGUCCGGUUCUGACGCUGAGGCGCGAAAGCGUGGGGAGCAAACAGG